AGUCGACGAUGAAUCUUCUAGCUUGCUAGAAGUGGAUUAGUGGCGCACGGGUGAGUAAUGCAUAGGUUAUGUGCCCUUUAGUCUGGGAUAGCCACUGGAAACGGUGAUUAAUACUGGAUACUCCCUACGGGGGAAAGUUUUUCGCUAAAGGAUCAGCCUAUGUCCUAUCAGCUUGUUGGUGAGGUAAUGGCUCACCAAGGCUAUGACGGGUAUCCGGCCUGAGAGGGUGAUCGGACACACUGGAACUGAGACACGGUCCAGACUCCUACGGGAGGCAGCAGUAGGGAAUAUUGCUCAAUGGGGGAAACCCUGAAGCAGCAACGCUGCGUGGAGGAUGAAGGUUUUAGGAUUGUAAACUCCUUUUGUUAGAGAAGAUUAUGACGGUAUCUAACGAAUAAGCACCGGCUAACUCCGUGCCAGCAACCGCGGUAAUACGGAGGGUGCAAGCGUUACUCGGAAUCACUGGGCGUAAAGAGUGCGUAGGCGGGGUAAUAAGUCAGAUGUGAAAUCCUGUAGCUUAACUACAGAACUGCAUUUGAAACUGUUACUCUGGAGUGUGGGAGAGGUAGGUGGAAUUCUUGGUGUAGGGGUAAAAUCCGUAGAGAUCAAGAGGAAUACUCAUUGCGAAGGCGACCUGCUGGAACAUUACUGACGCUGAUGCACGAAAGCGUGGGGAGCAAACAGGAUUAGAUACCCUGGUAGUCCACGCCCUAAACGAUGGAUGCUAGUUGUUGCCUUGCUUGUCAGGGCAGUAAUGCAGCUAACGCAUUAAGCAUCCCGCCUGGGGAGUACGGUCGCAAGAUUAAAACUCAAAGGAAUAGACGGGGACCCGCACAAGCGGUGGAGCAUGUGGUUUAAUUCGAAGAUACGCGAAGAACCUUACCUAGGCU
rnacentral:rRNA from 1 species